CAAUAGCGUAUAUUUAAGGUGUUGCAGUUAAAAAGCUCGUAGUUGGAUUUCGGUUAAGAGCGACCGGUCCGCCGUUUGGUGUGCACUGGUUGGUUUUAACUUCCUGUAGAGGACGUGCUCUGGGUUUAACGACCUGGACUCGGAGUCUACGUGGUUACUUUGAAAAAAUUAGAGUGUUCAAAGCGGGCUUACGCUUGAAUAUUUCAGCAUGGAAUAACACUAUAGGACUCCUGUCCUAUUUCGUUGGUCUCGGGACGGGAGUAAUGAUUAAGAGGAACAGUUGGGGGCAUUCGUAUUUCAUUGUCAGAGGUGAAAUUCUUGGAUUUAUGAAAGACGAACUUCUGCGAAAGCAUUUGCCAAGGAUGUUUUCAUUAA
rnacentral:rRNA from 1 species